GCCUCGGUAGUGUAAUAGAUCAGCACGGCAGACCGAAUAUCUGUAUGUGUUGGUUCGAGUCCCACCUGAAGUU
rnacentral:tRNA from 1 species